CCACAUUUGUAUAAAGGAGGGGUGGGGUUGUUGGGGGAUUGUCCUUGGAGGCUGGUUCCUACAGCCACUCAUCUGUCUUGAGUGUUGGCUGCCUCCUCUGGGGGGAUUACCUCUCUCUGUCAGGGAUGUUCAGAAAAUGAAAUGGAACCAGAUAUGUAAAAGGGCAACACAGAACCUUCAUUUUCCCUGUGCUUGGACCGGUGACAACAGCCUGGCAUUAUCCGUUGGACAUUUCUGAGGGUGGGUAGAAGGAUAAGGAGGAGAGACUCAGGUCUCCCCUUCCCCUGAGUUUCCCCUCCCAGGUAGACCUGAGCCCUCCCUGGCACAUCGGACAUGCUGGCUGUCCCGACUCCAGACCUAGGAUCCCUGUUCUGUGGGGUCGGCCCCCCCGCCCCCCCUGCCCAGAGCUGUGGACAUGCCCCACGUCAGUACUGCCCUCUGAAUCAGCACCACGGACAGCACCAUCGAGCUUUCAGAGGGAUCCCCGGGAACCUGGUGC
rnacentral:lncRNA from 1 species